rnacentral:rRNA from 1 species
GAUGAACGCUGGCGGCGUGCCUAAUACAUGCAAGUCGAGCGAACAGACGAGGAGCUUGCUCCUCUGACGUUAGCGGCGGACGGGUGAGUAACACGUGGAUAACCUACCUAUAAGACUGGGAUAACUUCGGGAAACCGGAGCUAAUACCGGAUAAUAUAUUGAACCGCAUGGUUCAAUAGUGAAAGACGGUUUUGCUGUCACUUAUAGAUGGAUCCGCGCCGCAUUAGCUAGUUGGUAAGGUAACGGCUUACCAAGGCAACGAUGCGUAGCCGACCUGAGAGGGUGAUCGGCCACACUGGAGCUGAGACACGGUCCAGACUCCUACGGGAGGCAGCAGUAGGGAAUCUGCCGCAAUGGGCGAAAGCCUGACGGAGCAACGCCGCGUGAGUGAUGAAGGUCUUCGGAGCGUAAAACUCUGUUAUUAGGGAAGAACAAAUGUGUAAGUAACUAUGCACGUAUUGACGGUACCUAAUCAGAAAGCCACGGCUAACUACGUG